AUUGAACGCUGGCGGCAUGCUUUACACAUGCAAGUCGAACGGUAACAGGCCGCAAGGUGCUGACGAGUGGCGAACGGGUGAGUAAUGCAUCGGAACGUGCCCAAUCGUGGGGGAUAACGCAGCGAAAGCUGCGCUAAUACCGCAUACGAUCUAAGGAUGAAAGCGGGGGACCGUAAGGCCUCGCGCGAUUGGAGCGGCCGAUGUCAGAUUAGGUAGUUGGUGGGGUAAAGGCUCACCAAGCCGACGAUCUGUAGCUGGUCUGAGAGGACGACCAGCCACACUGGGACUGAGACACGGUCCAGACUCCUACGGGAGGCAGCAGUGGGGAAUUUUGGACAAUGGGCGCAAGCCUGAUCCAGCCAUGCCGCGUGCAGGAUGACGGUCCUAUGGAUUGUAAACUGCUUUUGUACAGGAAGAAACACUCCCUCGUGAGGGAGCUUGACGGUACUGUAAGAAUAAGGAUCGGCUAACUCCGUG
rnacentral:rRNA from 1 species